rnacentral:rRNA from 1 species
UACAGAGGGUGCGAGCGUUGUCCGGAAUCACUGGGCGUAAAGGGCGCGUAGGCGGCGCGGUAAGCGUGCGGUGAAAGCCCGGGGCUCAACCCCGGGUCGGCCGUGCGGACUGCCGGGCUGGAGCACUGUAGAGGCAGGUGGAAUUCCGGGUGUAGCGGUGGAAUGCGCAGAUAUCAGGAGGAGCACCGGUGGCGAAGGCGGGUCUCUGGGCAGUAACUGACGCUGAGGAGCGAAAGCGUGGGGAGCGAACAGG